UACGUAGGGUGCGAGCGUUAAUCGGAUUUACUGGGCGUAAAGCGUGCGCAGGCGGCCCGUUAAGACAGGUGUGAAAUCCCUGGGCUCAACCUAGGAAUUGCACUUGUGACUGGCGGGCUCGAGUACGGUAGAGGGGGGUGGAAUUCCUGGUGUAGCGGUGAAAUGCGUAGAUAUCGGGAGGAACACCAGUGGCGAAGGCAGCCCCCUGGGCCUGUACUGACGCUCAUGCACGAAAGCGUGGGGAGCAAACAGG
rnacentral:rRNA from 1 species